AACGCUGGCGGCGUGCUUAACACAUGCAAGUCGAGCGAGAAAGCACCCUUCGGGGUGUGAGUAAAGCGGCGAACGGGUGAGUAACACGUGGGCAAUCUGCCUGGGAGCGGGGGAUAACCUGGGGAAACUCGGGCUAAUACCGCAUACGUCUUCGAGGCCUCGGCCUCGAAGGGAAAGCUGGCCACUACAUGUAAGCUGGCACUCCCAGAGGAGCCCGCGGUCGAUUAGCUUGAUGGUGAGGUAACGGCUCACCAUGGCGACGAUCGAUAGCCGGCCUGAGAGGGUGAUCGGCCACACUGGGACUGAGACACGGCCCAGACUCCUACGGGAGGCAGCAGUGGGGAAUAUUGGACAAUGGGGGCAACCCUGAUCCAGCAACGCCGCGUGGAGGAUGAAGGCCUUCGGGUCGUAAACUCCUGUCAGGUGGGACGAAAAGGUGUCGCUCAAUAGGCGGCGCUCAUGACGGUACCACCAGAGGAAGCCCCGGCUAACUCCGUG
rnacentral:rRNA from 1 species